AUGGGCCACGGGUACCUCUCCGACGGGCUCAUGGGCAGGGCUCAAGAGAGGAAGAAAGGGGUUCCAUGGACCGAGGACGAGCACCGGAGGUUCCUGGCCGGCCUGGAGAAGCUCGGGAAAGGCGACUGGCGAGGCAUCUCCCGGCACUUCGUCACCACACGCACGCCGACGCAGGUCGCCAGCCACGCCCAGAAGUACUUCCUCCGGCAGGCCGGCCUCGCGCAGAAGAAGCGGCGGUCCAGCCUCUUCGACGUCGCGCCUGACCUGGAGCUCAAGAUCUCGUCCACGGCCGCCCGGAAGACCGACCAGCAGGCCGGUGCUGCCGCCGGUUCGUCGCCAUCGCCGAGGACGCCCUUUUUCGGAACCAUCAGGGUCACCUAG
rnacentral:rRNA from 1 species